GCGCUUCUGUACAGCAACACGUAGCUAAAGUUGGCUGACUACGCUGUCUGUGAGAUAACAACGCACAGAAAGCGCUAACCUACGGAGAUUUUUUAACUUCUACGGAAACUCUCUGUUGUCUCUUCCCCGUGCCUCCCUAUUUUUUGCUUUAUUUCUCGAUUUUAGUCCAUCAAUUCUCCUUCUGCCAAUAUCAAUAGCGCUGGUGAGGCUUUCUCCAUUACUGUCCUUUUACAAGUCGACUCUUCUGUGAAUUUUGCACUCCUUUUGACAAGAGAAAUUUAGGUUUCGGUUGUGGUUGUUCGCUGCUUUAGCUUUGUUCCAUCAAGGUUAUCGUACUGUUGUACUGCAAAAUUUAAUUUUCGGUGUCGAUUGGCUAGGUGUUUGCGUAUUACAGAAGAAGUACGACUGACCUUGUCCUGUUUCUCUAUUGAAACGACUGACCUUGUCCUGUUUCUCUAUUGGAUUUGGAUUAGAAAUCAGGGCUUUUUAUUUGCAGGUGUUAUUUCUUUCUUGUUUUGGGCCUCAUUGGGUUUUUCCUUUUGGGACGAAUCGAGAUUGACAUGAAGUUCUUUCGCUAUCUUGUUAUCUGUUGCACUUAGUUCUUCAAAUUACAGAACAACUUACUGCAAGUUGGAAAUCUGGAGGAGUAUCUAAUUCCAAAUUAUCCAGCUCUGAAAUCCCACAGGUUGACGCUGUCAUAAUAGGAAAACUGCGAAGUGUAUUUAUUUUUAUCCGCAGAAUGCAUCAUGGUUCACAAGUUAGGGAGAUUGCAUGGCACAUUGACGACGCAUUGUUAGGAAAACGGUCAAGCUACAGUUCCUGUUUGGGUUGACAAAAUUAAGAAAAAACUUGGCUUGAUCCAUAUCCAAUAUCACCUAAGUGGACUUGAAGAUAACAGUAGCUUGGAACAGACCAUUUAUUAAAAAUCAUUAGCCAUACUUUUCAAGAGGAGAGGAAGGGUUUAGACUUGGCUAAAGAAGCUCUUGUCCUUUUCCGGAUAUUUAAAUGUCAAAUUGUAAAAGUAGGAGCAGAUUAGUUUUGACUAUGAUAUUUGAUUGGAUUGGAUUGAGAGCUAAGAAGAGGCUUAUUGUCAGGCAUCUGGAUGGACUUCUCUUAGUUUCAAAAAAUCAUAGCAAUUGCAGAUAUACUUAAAAUUGGAGCUAAUUAGUAGAAUUAUAUAAACCGUUGAUCUAAAAAUUCAUGUUUGCUGCUGAACACUAGCUCAUUCUUAUCUGUUUUGCAGAGCUCAAGAGAGCCUGCCAUCCAUUUACAAAGAUACAAAUUCUGGAAUGUCAUCAACUCCUCAAUCAGAAGUACCAAAGCUAGAGAACAAAUCAUGGCACUGUCUUGGUGCCCGAACAGAAAGGAACAAAGAGAUAAUCAAUUUCAAAGUGGACGUCUAAUAAAAUCAAUUUGAGUCCAGAAAGUUUUUAUGAAUGAGAUAAUCUAUUUCAACAAAAUUCCAUUCUUGAGUGGCUUCUGUAUUAUGAAAUGCUCAUCUUUCCACCAGUAAUGGUGAAUUUGAUCCUUUCAUUCAUUCUUUUUUAGUAGACAUGAUUCAAUUGAUAAAACAAAUCAUGUUGUAUCCUAUUUUGUCUUCUAUUUGUUAUUGUAUUGGUUUAAAUUUAUGCUUCAGUAUAUUAAGGCCACACGCUUGUGCUAUAUUUGCCUCAAUUAAUCCAAAGCUUCAAGGUUGCAGACGCAA